AUUGAACGCUGGCGGCAUGCCUUACACAUGCAAGUCGAACGGUAACAGGUCUUCGGAUGCUGACGAGUGGCGAACGGGUGAGUAAUACAUCGGAACGUGCCUAGUAGUGGGGGAUAACUACUCGAAAGAGUGGCUAAUACCGCAUGAGAUCUAAGGAUGAAAGCAGGGGAUCGCAAGACCUUGUGCUACUAGAGCGGCCGAGGGCAGAUUAGGUAGUUGGUGGGAUAAAAGCUUACCAAGCCGACGAUCUGUAGCUGGUCUGAGAGGACGAUCAGCCACAAGGGGACUGAGAGACGGCCCAGACUCCUACGGGAGUCAGCAGUGGGGAAUUUUGGACAAUGGGCGCAAGCCUGAUCCAGCAAUGCCGCGUGCAGGAUGAAGGCCUUCGGGUGGUAAACUGCUUUUGUACGGAACGAAAAGCCCUGGGUUAAUACCCUGGGGUCAUGACGGUACCGUAAGAAUAAGCACCGGCUAACUACGUGCCAGCAGCCGCCGUAACAC
rnacentral:rRNA from 1 species